UACAGAAGUACUUUCAUGUCAAGGUUGUC
rnacentral:piRNA from 1 species